rnacentral:rRNA from 1 species
CCUACGGGGGGCAGCAGUGGGGAAUAUUGGACAAUGGGGGCAACCCUGAUCCAGCCAUGCCGCGUGUGUGAAGAAGGCCCUCGGGUUGUAAAGCACUUUCAGUGAGGAAGAACGCCUGGUGGUUAAUACCCAUCAGGAAAGACAUCACUCACAGAAGAAGCACCGGCUAACUCCGUGCCAGCAGCCGCGGUAAUACGGAGGGUGCGAGCGUUAAUCGGAAUUACUGGGCGUAAAGCGCGCGUAGGUGGCUUGAUAAGCCGGUUGUGAAAGCCCCGGGCUCAACCUGGGAACGGCAUCCGGAACUGUCAAGCUAGAGUGCAGGAGAGGAAGGUAGAAUUCCCGGUGUAGCGGUGAAAUGCGUAGAGAUCGGGAGGAAUACCAGUGGCGAAGGCGGCCUUCUGGACUGACACUGCCACUGAGGUGCGAAAGCGUGGGUAGCAAACAGGAUUAGAUACCCCUGUAGUC